rnacentral:rRNA from 1 species
CACUGUCACUCCUACGGGGAGGCAGCAGUGGGGAAUAUUGCACAAUGGGCGCAAGCCUGAUGCAGCCAUGCCGCGUGUAUGAAGAAGGCCUUCGGGUUGUAAAGUACUUUCAGUCGUGAGGAAGGCGGCGUCGUUAAUAGCGGCGUUGUUUGACGUUAGCGACAGAAGAAAGCACCGGCUAACUCCGUGCCAGCAGCCGCGGUAAUACGGAGGGUGCGAGCGUUAAUCGGAAUUACUGGGCGUAAAGCGCAUGCAGGUGGUUUGUUUAAGUCAGAUGUGAAAGACCCGGGGCUCAACCUCGGAAUUGCAUUUGAAACUAGGCAGACUAGAGUACUGUAGAGGGGGGUAGGAAUUUCAGGUGUAGCGGUGAAAUGCGUAGAGAUCUGAAGGAAUACCGGUGGCGAAGGCGGCCCCCUCGGACAGAUACUGACACUCAGAUGCAAAAGCGUGGGGAGCAAACAGGAUUAGAUACCCUGGUAG